rnacentral:rRNA from 1 species
AUAUCAGUCAUGCAUAGCAUAUCAAUAAGCGGAGGAAAAGAAACUAACAAGGAUUCCCUUAGUAACGGCGAGUGAAGCGGGAAGAGCUCAAAUUUGAAAUCUUCAAGGUUUUACCUUGACGAAUUGUAGUUUAAAGAAGUGUUUUCUGUUGAAGUUUUGGUAAAAGUUCUUUGGAAUAGGACAUCAUAGAGGGUGAGAAUCCCGUAUUUGACCAUUACUUUCAGCUUUGUGAUACACUUUCAAAGAGUCGGAUUGUUUGGGAAUGCAGUCCAAAAUGGGUGGUAAAUUUCAUCUAAAGCUAAAUAUUGGCGAGAGACCGAUAGCGAACAAGUACCGUGAGGGAAAGAUGAAAAGAACUUUGAAAAGAGAGUUAAACAGUACGUGAAAUUGUCAAAAGGGAAGCGUUUGACACCAGUGUUGUUUUCUCGAAAAUCAAUUAAAAAGAGUUGGAUUUUGUGUUGUAUUGACUUUAUCGGCUUUCUUCACUCUUUUCCAGCUUUUUUUAAUGCACUUUUCGUUUAACAAGUCAACAUCAGUUUCUUUUGUUGUAAAAAGGUCAUUGGAAGGUGGCUUUCCUCUUCGGAGAAAGUGUUUAUAGCCUUUGACUCAUGCAAUCGGAGAGACUGAGGUCUGCAGCGUAGAUCCUUCGGGGUUAGAUACAUUUGUGCUAAGUUAUAGCUUUUCAUAGACAACUUGUUGACUAUGUUUAGUCUUGUAGCUUACUCGCUUAUGCUAUUUUACCUACGCUUAGGAUGUUGAACUCUAUCACACACA